rnacentral:lncRNA from 1 species
GCGCGCGCUUGGGCCGCGGUUGCUGGGCCGAGCUGGGUUAGCCGGGCUGCGGGGGCAAGCAGGCCGGGAGGGGUUGGCUGCGGGGUUCUUUCCCCUUUCUUCUUUUUUUUUCUAUUUUAUUUUUCAAAGCCCUUUUCAAAUAGAAUUUUGAACACAAUUAACUUCAAUCCAAAAUCUCACAGCACAAAUAAAAAUAUGCCCUAGCAUGAAUGCAAAUUCUUGUUUCUAAACUUAUGAUAAAUUUUAAUUUGCACAAAAUUAUUUAUUUGCUAGAUUCAAAUGCUCACAAAAAUACUUAAAUAAAUCAAUUUAAUUCCUAUAACUUGGAAACCAGAUUUUGGGUGUUACAAACUCUACCCCCCUUAAAAGAAUCUCGUCCUCGAGAUUGAAAGGUGCUUACUCGAACAAGUAUGAGUAUGAUUUUCUCAGAUCAUCCUCUCUUUCCCAAGUUGCCUCUGCUUCCGAAUACCGAUUCCACUGCACUUUGCACAUUCUAAUGACCCGACUUCUGGUGACUCUCUCAGCUGUCUCCACUAUUCUGACCGGAUACUCUUCAUAAGUGAGAUCACCUUUAACAGAAAGCUCUUCCAAUGGUAUUUGCUCCUCAGGUACACGCAGACACUUCUUAAGUUGUGACACAUGGAACACAUCGUGCACACCAGACAAACUUUCAGGCAAUUCUAAC